CAUUGCGGCGAUAUUAUUGGCUCACUAUGGCCGCUUGUUAGAAUGGCCGCAUGCUAUUGGUCAGGCCUUGUGGUUUGCUGGAGAAGGCUAGGAAGUUCGUGUCAGCUGGAAGGAAGGAGCGGUGGCGAGCUACCAAGGGAGAUCCAGUGCAGGAGAUGCGGGCAGCGCUGCGCCUGGCGGUAGUGGCAGUCCCCAUGGGUGUGCUGCUGUCCCGCACCAUGGCGUGGAUGUCCAGUGGCAAAACACACGCAGAGCUCAUCAGCAGGCUGAGGGAUCAUGGGGUGAUCCGCAGCGACAGAGUGUUUGACGCCAUGCUGGCCACAGACAGAGGGAUCUACUCUAGAGACCAUCCUUAUGCAGACUCUCCUCAGUCAAUAGGCUACAGGGCGACCAUCAGUGCUCCGCAUAUGCAUGCUCAUGCUUUAGAGUUGUUAAGUGACAAACUGUCUGAAGGGGCCUCAGCGCUGGAUGUCGGUUCAGGAAGUGGAUAUCUCACCGCCUGCUUUGCAAGAAUGACAGGACCCAGGGGUAGAGUGGUCGGCAUUGAACACAUUGAUGAACUAGUUCAAAUGUCAAUAAAAAACGUGCAAGCUGAUGACCCCGAACUACUCUCUUCUGGUCGCAUCAAACUUUGGGAGAUGGAAGGACUGGGUAUCCAGAUGGAGCGCCAUAUGAUGCUAUUCAUGUUGGUGCAGCUGCAGCUACUGUUCCUAAGGCUCUUUUGGAGCAGCUCAAACCAGGGGGCCGGUUGGUUCUCCCAGUAGGUCCGGAUGGUGGCAGCCAGGUGCUAGAACAGUAUGAUCGCCAGAAUGAUGGGACCUUCGUCAAGAAAGCUUUGAUGGGAGUGGUGUACGUCCCCCUCACUGACAAGAGACGUCAGUGGCCUGGAGGUGAGCUCUGAUUGCAGUGUGGUUGCCUCUGCAGGAGGUGGCGUUGGUGCUGCGUCGCCGGGGCCCCAUAGCUGUCCCCAUGAGCUCCAGUCUUAAUGACCACCUGUCCUGCUGGGAUGUCACCUAGCAACGUACAAGGAGGAUCUUGCUCUAUUGCCUGAUUGUCUUCCAAGUGUGCUGAAGCAGUGGGGGCCAGGUGAGAGAACACUGCUGGACUGAGGGCCGUAGAGUCAGAGAAAGAUAAGGUUGUUGCAAAUGGCAGUAAGUGAUUUUUUUUAAAUUUUAUUUAGUUCAGCAAUGACAAAAUUACAGUCACAGACUGAAAGGCUACAGUAUGUGUUUAAACAAAAUUCACAUUGCUGUGUAAUCCGAGUGGUAAGUCUUUGGUAUGAAUCACUAAUGUAACUGAUAAAGGCAAACCUAAUGACAAGCUUACAAGAUUUAAUAGGAAUUUAUCAAUAAAGCUGCAUUUACUGUGUGAAUAUGGUAUGUUUUGUUGACACUGUUACAGAUAGGACUGUGCCAAAAUCGAAUAAACUGAAGCACUUAAUUUUUUAACAGUAUAAAUGAUGGAAUUAUAUCUACAUUAAUCUGAUUUAUUAAAAAAUACUUAAUAAAUAAAAUGUAUUGAUUUGUCAUCUAUUUUAACAGACAA